rnacentral:rRNA from 1 species
CAUGGAGCUGAAAUCAGUCGAAGAUACCAGCUGGCUGCAACUGUUUAUUAAAAACACAGCACUGUGCAAACACGAAAGUGGACGUAUACGGUGUGACGCCUGCCCGGUGCCGGAAGGUUAAUUGAUGGGGUUAUCCGUAAGGAGAAGCUCUUGAUCGAAGCCCCGGUAAACGGCGGCCGUAACUAUAACGGUCCUAAGGUAGCGAAAUUCCUUGUCGGGUAAGUUCCGACCUGCACGAAUGGCGUAAUGAUGGCCAGGCUGUCUCCACCCGAGACUCAGUGAAAUUGAACUCGCUGUGAAGAUGCAGUGUACCCGCGGCAAGACGGAAAGACCCCGUGAACCUUUACUAUAGCUUGACACUGAACACUGGUCCUUGAUGUGUAGGAUAGGUGGGAGGCUUUGAAGUGUGGACGCCAGUCUGCAUGGAGCCAUCCUUGAAAUACCACCCUUUAAUGGCUGGUGUUCUAACGUAGACCCGUAAUCCGGGUUGCGGACAGUGUCUGGUGGGUAGUUUGACUGGGGCGGUCUCCUCCUAAAGAGUAACGGAGGAGCACGAAGGUUAGCUAAUCCUGGUCGGACAUCAGGAGGUUAGUGCAAAGGCAUAAGCUAGCUUGACUGCGAGAGUGACGGCUCGAGCAGGUGCGAAAGCAGGUCUUAGUGAUCCGGUGGUUCUGAAUGGAAGGGCCAUCGCUCAACGGAUAAAAGGUACUCCGGGGAUAACAGGCUGAUACCGCCCAAGAGUUCAUAUCGACGGCGGUGUUUGGCACCUCGAUGUCGGCUCAUCACAUCCUGGGGCUGAAGUAGGUCCCAAGGGUAUGGCUGUUCGCCAUUUAAAGUGGUACGCGAGCUGGGUUUAGAACGUCGUGAGACAGUUCGGUCCCUAUCUGCCGUGGGCGCUGGAGAAUUGAGGGGGGCUGCUCCUAGUACGAGAGGACCGGAGUGGACGCAUCACUGGUGUUCGGGUUGUCAUGCCAAUGGCAUUGCCCGGUAGCUAAAUGCGGAAGAGAUAAGUGCUGAAAGCAUCUAAGCACGAAACUUGCCCCGAGAUGAGUUCUCCCUGACCCUUUAAGGGUCCUGAAGGAACGUU